rnacentral:rRNA from 1 species
CGGAGGGAAACCGAGUCUUAAUUGGGCGUUAAGUUGCAGGGUAUAGACCCGAAACCCGGUGAUCUAGCCAUGGGCAGGUUGAAGGUUGGGUAACACUAACUGGAGGACCGAACCGACUAAUGUUGAAAAAUUAGCGGAUGACCUGUGGCUGGGGGUGAAAGGCCAAUCAAACCGGGAGAUAGCUGGUUCUCCCCGAAAGCUAUUUAGGUAGCGCCUCGUGAAUUCAUCUCCGGGGGUAGAGCACUGUUUCGGCUAGGGGGCCAUCCCGGCUUACCAACCCGAUGCAAACUGCGAAUACCGGAGAAUGUUAUCACGGGAGACACACGGCGGGUGCUAACGUCCGUCGUGAAGAGGGAAACAACCCAGACCGCCAGCUAAGGUCCCAAAGUCAUGGUUAAGUGGGAAACGAUGUGGGAAGGCCCAGACAGCCAGGAUGUUGGCUUAGAAGCAGCCAUCAUUUAAAGAAAGCGUAAUAGCUCACUGGUCGAGUCGGCCUGCGCGGAAGAUGUAACGGGGCUAAACCAUGCACCGAAGCUGCGGCAGCGAACGUAUCACCCAAGACAACUUUACGGAGUUGACGAUUGACGGAGCGAAGCGACGUCAAAGCGUUCAUUAAAGUCGAGUUGGCUUAGGGAUACGUUCGUUGGGUAGGGGAGCGUUCUGUAAGCCUGUGAAGGUGUGUCGUGAGGCAUGCUGGAGGUAUCAGAAGUGCGAAUGCUGACAUAAGUAACGAUAAAGCGGGUGAAAAGCCCGCUCGCCGGAAGACCAAGGGUUCCUGUCCAACGUUAAUCGGGGCAGGGUGAGUCGACCCCUAAGGCGAGGCCGAAAGGCGUAGUCGAUGGGAAACGGGUUAAUAUUCCCGUACUUGGUGUUACUGCGAAGGGGGGACGGAGAAGGCUAUGUUGGCCGGGCGACGGUUGUCCCGGUUUAAGCGUGUAGGUGUGUGUUCCAGGUAAAUCCGGUUCACUUUAACACUGAGGCGUGACGACGAGGCACUACGGUGCUGAAGCAACAAAUGCCCUGCUUCCAGGAAAAGCCUCUAAGCAUCAGGUAACACGAAAUCGUACCCCAAACCGACACAGGUGGUCAGGUAGAGAAUACCAAGGCGCUUGAGAGAACUCGGGUGAAGGAACUAGGCAAAAUGGUGCCGUAACUUCGGGAGAAGGCACGCUGACACGUAGGUGAAGUGAUUUACUCAUGGAGCUGAAGUCAGUCGAAGAUACCAGCUGGCUGCAACUGUUUAUUAAAAACACAGCACUGUGCAAACACGAGAGUGGACGUAUACGGUGUGACGCCUGCCCGGUGCCGGAAGGUUAAUUGAUGGGGUCAGCGUAAGCGAAGCUCCUGAUCGAAGCCCCGGUAAACGGCGGCCGUAACUAUAACGGUCCUAAGGUAGCGAAAUUCCUUGUCGGGUAAGUUCCGACCUGCACGAAUGGCGUAAUGAUGGCCAGGCUGUCUCCACCCGAGACUCAGUGAAAUUGAACUCGCUGUGAAGAUGCAGUGUACCCGCGGCAAGACGGAAAGACCCCGUGAACCUUUACUAUAGCUUGACACUGAACAUUGAGCCUUGAUGUGUAGGAUAGGUGGGAGGCUUUGAAGUGUGGACGCCAGUCUGCAUGGAGCCGACCUUGAAAUACCACCCUUUAAUGUUUGAUGUUCUAACGUGGACCCGUAAUCCGGGUUGCGGACAGUGUCUGGUGGGUAGUUUGACUGGGGCGGUCUCCUCCUAAAGAGUAACGGAGGAGCACGAAGGUUGGCUAAUCCUGGUCGGACAUCAGGAGGUUAGUGCAAUGGCAUAAGCCAGCUUGACUGCGAGCGUGACGGCGCGAGCAGGUGCGAAAGCAGGUCAUAGUGAUCCGGUGGUUCUGAAUGGAAGGGCCAUCGCUCAACGGAUAAAAGGUACUCCGGGGAUAACAGGCUGAUACCGCCCAAGAGUUCAUAUCGACGGCGGUGUUUGGCACCUCGAUGUCGGCUCAUCACAUCCUGGGGCUGAAGUAGGUCCCAAGGGUAUGGCUGUUCGCCAUUUAAAGUGGUACGCGAGCUGGGUUUAGAACGUCGUGAGACAGUUCGGUCCCUAUCUGCCGUGGGCGCUGGAGAACUGAGGGGGGCUGCUCCUAGUACGAGAGGACCGGAGUGGACGCAUCACUGGUGUUCGGGUUGUCAUGCCAAUGGCACUGCCCGGUAGCUAAAUGCGGAAGAGAUAAGUGCUGAAAGCAUCUAAGCACGAAACUUGCCCCGA